UGUGGUUACAAUAGUCAGAGAGGAUACACCUGUUCCCAUUCCGAACACAGAAGUUAAGCUCUCUAGCGCUGAUGGUACUUUGGUGGGAAACUGCCUGGGAGGAGUAGGACGUAGCCACUA
rnacentral:rRNA from 1 species